ensembl:lncRNA
AGAAGUGAAGUCCGAAUAAUUUUCUCUGCUGUCCUUACCACCCUCUGCAGGGACUUCCAGUCAGAAGAGCAGCAGGCUCCUGCUCAGACAGAAAUGCAACUGGUCAGUAUGCAUUCUACAGUGCCUCUGUAGAAGGUGGCAAGAAUCGGAGGGGGGAGGAUUUGCCUCUCAUAACGUUGGUCCGACUGCCAACUCUUUUCUACCUUCCUCUCGCACCUGCAACCGGCUGACCGAGGAGGCGCAGUUCAUCUCGAGCAAGUCUAAUACUUCACAAGGAACUAACAAACUGAGGGAGUUGAAGUAGCGUGUUAAACAGAUGACCUGAUAAAUAAUCAGGAGGGCGAGAGUCACGUGAGGGAGGUCUAGGGUCAUGUGAUCUGGAGGGGCAUUCUUGGAAAUGGAGUGUGACAACGGAGCCGGAGGAAGCCAUGACACUGUUAUUUAAUUUAAAAAAUAAAGUAAUGUUGACAAAUUGUUUUGGUGAAUACAUACACAGGUCACAAGGGGUACAUUUUCUGAUUUCUCAACACUGAACUAAACUUUCAAAGUAAACUGGCUCAAAACAAUUUCUUGAGAGUCCCAUUUCUAUUUGGAAUUUCAUCCUUCAUCUUAUUUUCACCAAAUAAAGUGAUGUUGGUUUUCUCUUGAUGUGUAAUUAAGAC